rnacentral:rRNA from 1 species
CUGAGUUUGAUCCCCUGGCUCAGGACGAACGCUGGCGGCGUGCCUAACACAUGCAAGUCGAGCGAUGAAGCUUCUUCGGAAGUGGAUUAGCGGCGGACGGGUGAGUAACACGUGGGCAACCUGCCUCAUAGAGAGGGAUAGCCUUUCGAAAGGAAGAUUAAUACCUCAUAAGAUUGUAGUUUCGCAUGAAACGGCAAUAAAAGGAGCAAUCCGCUAUGAGAUGGGCCCGCGUCGCAUUAGCUAGUUGGUAAGGUAAUGGCUUACCAAGGCGACGAUGCGUAGCCGACCUGAGAGGGUGAUCGGCCACAUUGGGACUGAGACACGGCCCAGACUCCUACGGGAGGCAGCAGUGGGGAAUAUUGCACAAUGGGGGAAACCCUGAUGCAGCAACGCCGCGUGAGUGAUGAAGGUCUUCGGAUUGUAAAACUCUGUCUUUGGGGACGAUAAUGACGGACCCAAGGAGGAAGCCACGGUAA